rnacentral:piRNA from 1 species
UCACAAUCAGGAAGCAGAGAGAUGAAUG